rnacentral:rRNA from 1 species
UACGUAGGGUGCAAGCGUUGUCCGGAAUUAUUGGGCGUAAAGAGCUCGUAGGCGGUCUGUUGCGUCCGCUGUGAAAACCCGGGGCUUAACCCUGGGCUGGCAGUGGAUACGGACAGACUAGAGGUAGGUAGGGGAGAAUGGAAUUCCCGGUGUAGCGGUGGAAUGCGCAGAUAUCAGGAGGAACACCGAUGGCGAAGGCAGAUCUCUGGGCCGUAACUGACGCUGAGGAGCGAAAGCGUGGGGAGCGAACAGG